rnacentral:rRNA from 1 species
UACGUAGGGGGCAAGCGUUGUCCGGAUUUAUUGGGCGUAAAGAGCGUGUAGGCGGCCAAGCAGGUCAGCUGUGAAAACUCGAGGCUCAACCUCGAGACGUCGGUUGAAACCGCUUGGCUAGAGUCCGGAAGAGGAGAGUGGAAUUCCCGGUGUAGCGGUGAAAUGCACAGAUAUCGGGAAGAACACCUAUGGCGAAGGCAGCUCUCGUGGGACGGUACUGACGCUGAGACGCGAAAGCCGUGGGGAGCGAACAGG